rnacentral:lncRNA from 1 species
AAGCUUCUGGGAAUAUGGGCGAGCCCUUUCAGCCGUCGGAUCGAGAUGGCUCUCAAACUCAAAGGGAUACCGUACGAUUACGUUGAAGAAAUAUUGGAGCACAAAAGCCCUUUGCUUCUUGCACUCAACCCCAUCCACAAGAAGGUCCCUGUUCUUGUCCACAAUGGCAAAACCAUUCUCGAGUCUCAAGUGAUUCUUGAAUACAUCGAUGAGACUUGGAAACAGAAUCCACUUCUCCCUCAGGAUCCUUACGAGAGAUCCAAGGCUCGAUUCUUAGCUAAACUCGUCGAUGAGCAGGUACGUAUAUAUAUAUAUGUAUUCUUACUAAUUGUUUGUUUAUUUUAUUUUAUUAAUUGUUUUUAAUCUUUAUCUGUACUGUAGAUCAUCACUGCGGGUUUUGUAUCAAUGGCAAGAGCAGACGAGAAAGGAAGAGAGGCUUUGGCCGAGCAGACAAGAGAACUGAUUAUGAAUCUGGAGAAGGAACUUGUCGGAAAAGAUUUCUUCGGUGGUAAGAGUGUCGGGUUUUUGGAUUUGGUCGCCGGAAGUAUGAUUCCGUUUUGUUUGGAGAG